UUGACCUCAAAUCAGGUAGGACUACCCGCUGAACUUAAGCAUAUCAAUAGCCGGGAGGAACGG
rnacentral:rRNA from 1 species